GAUGAACGCUGGCGGCGUGCCUAAUACAUGCAAGUCGAGCGAACAGACGAGGAGCUUGCUCCUCUGACGUUAGCGGCGGACGGGUGAGUAACACGUGGAUAACCUACCUAUAAGACUGGGAUAACUUCGGGAAACCGGAGCUAAUACCGGAUAAUAUAUUGAACCGCAUGGUUCAAUAGUGAAAGACGGUUUUGCUGUCACUUAUAGAUGGAUCCGCGCCGCAUUAGCUAGUUGGUAAGGUAACGGCUUACCAAGGCAACGAUGCGUAGCCGACCUGAGAGGGGGGUCGGCCCCACUGGAACUGAAACACGGUCCAGACUCCUACGGGAGGCAGCAGUAGGGAAUCUUACGCAAGGGGCGAAAGCCUGACGGAGCAACGCCGCGUGAGGGAUGAAGGGCUUCGGAUCGUAAAACUCUGUUAUUAGGGAAGAACAAAUGUGUAAGUAACUAUGCACGGCUUGACGGUACCUAAUCAGAAAGCCACGGCUAACUACGUG
rnacentral:rRNA from 1 species